rnacentral:rRNA from 1 species
UGUGUAAGCGCUGUGAGGCGUUGAGCUAACCAAUACUAAUUGCCCGUGAGGCUUGACCAUAUAACACCCAAGCAAUU